CCCCCCUUCCCCUCGUGUUUCGCUCCCCCUCCCCGCCGCUCCCCCCGGCGCUUCAUAGACCACCAUGGAGCAGGAGCCCCCAGCUUAGACCAGCCAGUAGCUCUGUAUGGGGCAGAUCUUUCAGGGGGAGGGGGAGUCCAUCGGUCCGCGGGAGGGAAGGCUACGGCUUUGGCUCGGCCCAGGAUCGGUCUGAGGAUCAGCCUUUCCUGGGUUAGUCCACAAAGAAUGGACCUGCCCAAAUCUCUCCCGCUGAUGGUUGGCGUUUGGUUUUUCUUGGCCUUAAAGUACACGAUUGUGACUCCGUGGUUCUUCUCCCGGCACUAGAAGGUGGACCCACCCCAACGCCCGACUCACUGCUGCUCACACCCGUGCCAGAGAAUGACCGUCUGCCUGCUUCGGCCUUUGGCGGCUUGGGGGUAUCCUCGAGAUGUGCGGACCGCUGGCUGCUGAUUGCUGGGAAGACUCUUGGAGUCCUUUGAGGCCUAGGCCAGAGGUCUCAGCUUGGCUCUGCCCGGCCGGAGUGUCGUCUUUCUCAACAUAGGCAUCCCCCAGCAUCAGCGCUGACCCCGGGUGGCCUCCCCCAGCCCAGGCCUGCUGAUGUCUGUCUCAGACACUCCUGGAAAAUAAAACAGGGCUGAGGUCCACACAUUAGCUGGCA